rnacentral:rRNA from 1 species
GACGAACGCUGGCGGCGUGCUUAACACAUGCAAGUCGAACGGAAGGGCCCUGCUUUUGUGGGGUGCUCGAGUGGCGAACGGGUGAGUAACACGUGAGUAACCUGCCCUUGACUUUGGGAUAACUUCAGGAAACUGGGGCUAAUACCGGAUAGGAGCUCCUGCUGCAUGGUGGGGGUUGGAAAGUUUCGGCGGUUGGGGAUGGACUCGCGGCUUAUCAGCUUGUUGGUGGGGUAGUGGCUUACCAAGGCUUUGACGGGUAGCCGGCCUGAGAGGGUGGCCGGCCACAUUGGGACUGAGAUACGGCCCAGACUCCUACGGGAGGCAGCAGUGGGGAAUAUUGCACAAUGGGCGGAAGCCUGAUGCAGCAACGCCGCGUGCGGGAUGACGGCCUUCGGGUUGUAAACCGCUUUCGCCUGUGACGAAGCGUGAGUGACGGUAAUGGGUAAAGAAGCACCGGCUAACUACGUG